rnacentral:rRNA from 1 species
CUACUGGGGUUUCUAAUCCUGUUCGCUCCCCACACUUUCGCUCCUCAGCGUCAGGUAAUGCCCAGAGAACCGCCUUCGCCACCGGUGUUCUUCCUGAUAUCUGCGCAUUUCACCGCUACACCAGGAGUUCCGUUCUCCCCUGCAUACCUCUAGUCAGCCCGUAUCGAAAGCAAGCUCAGAGUUAAGCCCUGAGUUUUCACUCCCGACGUGACAAACCGCCUACGAGCCCUUUACACCCAAUAAUUCCGGACAACGCUCGCACCCUACGUAUUACCGCGGCUGCUGGCAC